UUAGACAAUAUAUCGGUGGCAGAAGUGUUCUCUUUUUUUUUACAAUGGGAUUUUCCAGCGGAAACUUCACAGAGAUUUCUUGGUCAAACUGGGCGAAUGACGAUUUUGAAGGCAGGAGUCCAGAAAGGGCAAUUCGGAAGAUAUCUCAAGAAAUGUUCAAGCUUCAUCAUCAACGAAAUUGAAAAAAACAGGAGAUUUCUAUCAUUAUCAUCAUCAUUUUCAACCGAUUAUUCCUUUGGGGUCGUGAAAAUAUUGAUCAAGAUGAGGAAAAUUGAUGGCCUAAGGGAAA